GGGCAGAUAGCUCAGCUGGUAGAGCACAGGACUGAAAAUCCUGGUGUCGGCGGUUCAAUCCCGCCUCUGCCCACCA
rnacentral:tRNA from 2 species